UACGUAGGUGGCAAGCGUUGUCCGGAGUUAUUGGGCGUAAAGCGCGCGCAGGCGGUGCGGUAAGUCUCUGGUGAAAGCGCUCGGCUUAACUGGGCGAGGGCCGGGGAGACUGCCACGCUGGAGGGGAGCAGAGGCGAGUGGAAUUCCGGGUGUAGUGGUGAAAUGCGUAGAGAUCCGGAGGAACACCAGUGGCGAAGGCGGCUCGCUGGGCUCUACCUGACGCUGAGGCGCGAAAGCGUGGGAGCGAACCGG
rnacentral:rRNA from 1 species